UACGUAGGGUGCGAGCGUUAAUCGGAAUUACUGGGCGUAAAGCGUGCGCAGGCGGUUCGUUAAGUCAGAUGUGAAAGCCCCGGGCUCAACCUGGGAACUGCAUUUGAAACUGGCGGGCUUGAGUAUGGCAGAGGGGGGUGGAAUUCCGCGUGUAGCAGUGAAAUGCGUAGAGAUGCGGAGGAACACCGAUGGCGAAGGCAAGCCCCUGGGCCUGCACUGACGCUCAUGCACGAAAGCGUGGGGAGCAAACAGG
rnacentral:rRNA from 1 species